GUUCUAAGGUGUAACCCACAUAUUUAAUUGCAAAUUAAAAGUUACUAAACAACAUUUAGUUAGAACU
rnacentral:tRNA from 1 species